rnacentral:lncRNA from 1 species
GGCCAGCAAAGAUCAGUGCCUAGAGGCUUCUAGAUGUGUCAGAAAUGAGACAGUCUGAAUUACUCCUAUUUUGAAGAUCAGUGUUGAUGAGUCCCAUGGCCAUGACCUGGCUGGGUUGUGGCCUCCUAGCCCUGCUGCCCAAUGUUCCUGUGUGUUCCAACUCUACUCUCAGUGAGGCUGUUUCCGUUCUGGUGGACUGGGGUCUGAAAUGUUCUCCAUUGCUGGGGCUUUAGGAGACCCAAGUAUCGUUGGAUUACAGCUCAAGCCCAAUUUGCAUGAGCAGAGAAACAAAGGGUAAUUAAAUGAACCAUAACUUAUACAGACUUGGGUGAUCUCUACACAGUAGGCAGGAUUUGCCCUUGUGACAAAGGUUCAUGGGUUGUUUUUGUUUGUCUCUUGAUCCAGUGGAAGGUGAUCAACAAAUCUGCAAACUUGCAGUCUGUUAACUGCUCUUCAUGAAUUCUGCAGCCACGGCCACUGCAAUUGCAAUUAUAGAAUCGUAGAAUCAUUAAGGUUGGAAAAGACCACCACGAUCAUCAAGUCCAAAAGCUAACCCAUCACCACCAUACCCCACACUAAACCAUGACCCUAAGUGCCACAUCUGUCCUUCUCUUUAAAACCUCCAGGGAUGCUGACUCUCCACCACCUCACUGGGCAGCCUGUUCUAAUGGAUUACCACUCUUUCAGAGAAUAAAUUUCUCCUAAUACCCAACCUGAACCUCCCCUGGGUCAACUUAAGGCAAUUAACUCUCAUCCUAGAUACAAUGAGGCAUUCAGGAUGAGAUGUCCCUUUCUGGUGCUGGGAAUUGCAGUUCUUCUCAGUGUCAGUAGGUCCAUUCUCUGAAUUGAACUGUGAUGCCCUAGAAAAUUGAGUUCCUGUUGAAUAACCCAUGCAAGUAUCUUAGCCCAUUCUGGUCACCCAGGUCCUCCAGUUGUUCUACUCAUCUGUCUUCUGAACAGCUGGUGAUCAAACAUGGACAGGCCAGUCUGAACCUGACUUGAUCCUUCCUUUAAUCUAGUUUCUCAUGCAACAGGGCUCUGUGGCCACCGUGAAAUAAAAGAGAAUAAAUAAAUAACACCUGUCUUGGAAAUGUCUGUUGAUAGCUGACUCACAGCAGGGCUGGGGUUUUGCAAGCAGCAUGGUCUGGUUGUUCCUGCAAUUAGAGAGAGCUAAACAAAUGGAAAUGAGUAGGAGGAGGAGAUGAUCCUGAUCAGCACAACCCCGGAGCAAAGUGUGUCUCCUACUGCUUCAGCCAGGCAAAAAUUUCUGAAGGUGCAUAGAAAGGCAUCUAGAAAAUCAUUAAUUUACAUAUUCAGUGGUAUUUUACCAUCUACACUCCAGUCCUGACAGGAGUUGGGACGCCAUAGGGAAGGCAUAUUAGCAAAUGAAAGCUCCUGGGUCUGUUCCUGGCCCUGAGGUUAGCUGGUAUUCCUCCAAAAUAAAGUGGCUGAGUGCAAAAUACCAAUUGGAAAGUACGUCUAAUUUGUGAUAAGUUCUGCACCCUGUCCAGGAAUUGUCAGAGAUGGUCUUAACCAUUCAGGCAAAAACUGUGCUAAUAAUUAAACAACAUGGACAACUGUCCCCAUGCUGUAGGACAGCCCUUGAAACUAUGACUGAACUCUUCAUGUAUUAUUGGGAUAGACAUAGCUGCUGCUGUGACAGCUCUUUUUCAGAUUCUAGCCUCAGGGAAGCUGGAAGGUUGGUGACCUCCUCUGUAGCACAACUGGAUCCCCCUGCAAGCAAGUUAGGUAAUAUGGUACUGGGAAGCCCCUGGGGCACCAUUUUCCUUCCUUGAGCCAAAGGGCAGGUUCUCCAAAGGAUUUCAACACCUCCGUGUAACCUGGCCCCCAGGCUGCCCAUGCUGUGUUGCUGAAUCUGAAUAUCUCUGUGCCAUGCUGGGACUCCCAUGGUGAGCACCCAGAUACCUUCAGAGCACUCAGGAAAAGUGUGAGCAUGUGGGAGAUGGGGUCAGAGUCAAUGCAUCAAAGUCCUUCAGCAAUGUGAAACAUGAAGACUUCAAGCCCAUGUUGAUUUUCACCGAGCCCUGUAGAUUCAAAAAUGCACCUUGUUAAUCAUAUUGAAAAAUAGCACAAUUAUUUUUCACUUCUUCCUCAGAAAUAGGAGUCAAGUCAGGUUAAAGCAAACUGCUUCCUUGCCUAUGCAGAGCUUUGUACUUUGGCUGCAGGACACUCAGCUUUGGCUUCCCAUGCUGAUUUCCAGAUCAUUACAAAGAGUCAUCCCUGCAGGAGGACACCAUGUUGUGAAUCACACUGGGCAAUCCUUGUUUUCUGAAGUGGGUCUAGCUCUUUGGUUGCUGCCUCGUGACAUCGAGGAGGACUGACACACCUCCUCCAGCAUCCACAAUGGCAGGCAGUCCCUAUGCUUGGCAGUACUUCAUCUGUUGGGCAAGCGAUGUGGCUUACCCUCUCCACGCCCAGAAGCUGUAUGUCCAUUGUUGAGGAAUGAUGAAUGCUCAUGGGGUUAUCAGGGCUGACUUCACCAUCCUGUUAAUCCUGCUUCAUGUCAGCAGUACGGAUAGCCCCACUGGUUUGAAGCCAAUGUCAGAAACCUCAAAAAUACCUGAAAAUUACUACCCCCUACACCAGUACUCCCCCUCACCAUUUUUUUUUUUUUUUUUUGCCAUCAAAAAGGAUGAUACCAUGGGUUUUGGUGUCCCUCUGAACUUCCUCUGGCCAUGCCUUCACAGUGAUGAGCAAUGAGUAGUUGUAUCAGGUGCCUUAAAUGUGCAAGAUGCCCAUGACCUCUGCUUCAGGGCUGAUCUGUCCAGGACCUAAAGUUCACACCCUUCCCUUUCUCCAUCUUCUACAUGUUCUCUGAGUCUCUGCCUAUUCUUCUUCUGCAGCUCCAUGUCCUAAACCCCAGGUUGUGUACAGGUCAGUUCUCUUUCUUCAACCCCAUUUUCUUUUCUCAGCCAAGUCUUGCAGGGUGGAGGACUUGAGCAGACCAAGCAGCUUUUAUCUGGCGGAGGAUCUGUUCCUGCUUUGUCCUCUCUGCUCUUUGGUGGCUGGAUCUAUGAUGAUUCAUGGAGAAGUCUGCAGAUUUCCUGCACCAAUUUUCCUGGUAGCUCUUUUCUUAGAAGCCGAAGUGUGACAGGCAGUCAGAGACUCCAGAAGGUCUUGAAUUAUCAGCUCCAGCUCCACCUAAAUAGAUCAACAGACAGAGAAGUCAUACAGGCUGGGAACUUUACAUUUGAAUGCUAUCUAGAAGGACCUUGCAUUGUGUAGAAGGAGCACAAAUGUGUUUUUACACUUUUCUCGGGUGUAGCAAAGCUGGAAACCAAUUUACAAUGUGCCAGCUCCUGUUUUUGAACACCAAAGCCGUUGUUCUCUUGCUGCAGCUGCUCUCAAAAGUAGGAUGUGAAGCAUUUAGGACUGUAUAGGUAACCAGCAGCUUUUAUAGGCUACAGGAAAUCAUAAAACGUUUCCUGUUUAUAUUGUCAACCAUGAAUACAAAGCUAGAUCUAUCCUGACUGUAGACAUAAGGGAGUUCUCCAGGUCUAACCCUGGAAAGGCACUUGGCAGUCAUCCACACAGUGAAGCCAUUAAUUUAUGCUACUCAUUGCCAUUUUGCUUUGAGUAGAUGCCUUUGCUGAACUAUCUGGCCAUAGAUGUGUUGUAGUAGUGCUACACUGAUAGUACUGCUAGCCUGACCAUAGAGACAUUAAAGCAUUAAAGGCAAUAAAUGGGAUGAAUUGCCUUAGUGGUGCUUUCACUCAUCUUCAGACCCAUCAGACCAGCCUGAAGGCAAUGCUGAGGUGAGAAAACAACCAACGUGCAUUCCUAUCCUGUCAAAUAAUACAUGAUCCCUGCCCAUCUUUUCAAAUUGUUGUCUUCAUCAUCACUCAGUCCAAACGCAGGCGAGAUAUAUAUCCUGUCCCCAGAUGAAGGUGCUUUUCCUGGGCUGUGAAGACAACUGAGAGAAGAUGAAAGCUUCCCUCCUUGCCCUUCUGGCUUUGGUCCUAUGUGCAUAUCAAGCAAAAGCCCUAUAUUGCUACACCUGUGAGUGGGAACAAAGCAACUGGAGCUGUCUGAAGGCUAAGAAGUGUGCAGACAAGGAUAAGUACUGUGUGACAAAUGUUGCCUCUGUAGGAAUAGGUAUGUGCUGUCAGUGCACAGGGGCUCAGGAAUGGAAAGUGGGGUUUUGGCUCGAUUUGUAUGGUUGCCCUUCGUGAAUGGAUGAGUUGAGGAAUCAUGGGGAAGGACAUAUGGAAGGAGGAGAUUUUGAUAGCCCAAUCUGGCAGUGCUUAAGUUAGCAGAGUUUGGAAAAUUCCUCCCCAGCACAGCUUGAGAUCUUCCUUCUUGUUUUAUGCUUGCGUGGCAAAGGAUACUGAAAUAGGUCUAGUGUGUUGCAGAAGGGAAUAAAACCUGGCAGUGUGCUUUCAAUCCAGGCAAGAACAUUCCUUCAUGGAGCUUCAUGGAGCUGGACUCAGUAUUCCUUGUGGAUCCCUUCCACCUCAGGAUAUUAUAGGAUUCUAUGUAUGCCACCAUUGUACACCUAAUAAAGACUCAACAUGAGGAUCUAUGCUGGGAAGUGCUGGAUGCACAUUAGAUAUAUUAAAUGGUCCUGGCAAUCACUGAGUGGGUGAGAUUGUGAAGGGUCUUAUUGACCGUGCUGGUCCUCAGGACAGGAGGGCAUAUUAGUUCCUCUUCUAGAAGACUGAAAGGUUCUUGGGAAGACCAUCACUAAUACUGGUCUCCCCUUUCUCCUUUGAUCAAGGUUCUUUGUCUUUCUGGAAGAGGAUCACCAAGAAGUGCUCCAGGACCUGUCCAUACCACAACUUCAGCCUGGGUCUGGCUACCUACACCUCAUUCUGCUGCCAGACCUUCUUGUGCAACCUGCAUGCCUGCCCAGGACCCAGGCUUGCUCGACCAUAAGAUGUUGGGAUUCCUGAAUCAGUGUCCUUCACUUGCUCAGAGAAAGGGGCUCUUGAAGGCCUGAAGAACGUGGUCAGAUUUCCCCAGAAGGGUAUGUCAGGGGGAAGUCUUUCAAUGAGAGUAUGAUGUAGUACUGGAACAGGUUGCCCAGAGAGGUUGUGGUGCCCUGUCUCUGGAUGUGAUUGAGACCAUGUUGGAUGGGGACCUGGGCAACCUGGUCUAGCAGUUGACAACCUUGCCUGUGGCAGUGGGGUACAAACUUGAUGGUCCUUGAGGUCCCUUCCAACCCAAGCCAUUCUAUGACUCUAUGAUUCUAUGAUUAUGUGAUUCUAUGACUCUAUGAUUCUAUGAUUCUACGAUUCUAUGGUAUGGGCACCAUACACGCAUGCUAAGUAGAUAAAAUAUUAUGGUUGCCAUCUCCUGCCCCGUGUUGCCUCUCCAUCUGGAUCUUCUUACUUGCUUCUCAUGCCUGAGUUCCAUCACCCCAGCAACUUGAUGGAGAAGUGGCCAUGCUAUGUCCUCUGCAGCUUGGAGGAGGGAGAUGCUGCUUCUGCAUGGCAUGUGACUCUCUAGAGGGGUUUCUCCUGCAGUCUUACCUUGUCUUGGGUGCAGCUGGGAGCCACAUAGCAAAGAGCAGCUUUCCAGACUUGGGAUAGAGGGUGGACCAGAAAUAAGUACCUCUUGGUGCCAAUUCAAGGUAAACUGUACAAACUCACAUCAUGUCUGCUGGGGAAGGGAAAUAGUAUAAAAUCCUGAGCUUGUAAUGGAUCCCAACAACAGAUUUUCUCCCUUGCCCCCUCUGUACAGCCUUUUGCUCCUGGUCCUGAGCUAGCACAAGUGACAUCCCUGUGCUACCAUGCCAUUAGCAGUUGACAUUCUUGUUGCUGUUGGCUCUGUCCAUGAUGCCACACUUUUAUAAAAAACAAAAUGCUUAUCUGCAGUCUUUGUCCCCACCUCCAUUUCCAGGGGCUCUCAUUGGCCAUCCCCUUCAUGUUGCUUUGCUCGCUUGCAGCUGCUGUUUGAGCCAAGUGAACCAAUUCCCCCGGAUCUACCUCUUGGCAAUGCAUCGUCCUACAGUGAGUCAUUCAUUUACCCAUCCCUCAGACAUCUCUCAGAGCAACUGCAGGGUAAUGAAAAGUAUUUGCAGCCUUUGGGUCAAUCUGGGGAGGAACAUUUGGAGAGGUUUAUGAGAGAAGAAUACAGAUUUUUGAGUAUUUCACGUAGAUGUUUCCAGAAGCUGCAGAGAAUGUAGGGUAAAAGGAAGCUGAGAAAAUGAAUGAUGACAAUGAGAGCUCAGGGAUUCUCCAUUGCCAGAGGUGUUGCUGAGUGCCUUUCCCUCCUUCCAAAAAGCACUUUUUGGAGGAGAAUGGAAAUGCACAAACUUGGAUAAGUUGGGAGGGUGGAGGAGCUCUUCUCAGGUCUGGGGCCGUGAUUUGGAUGCUGAACCUUUACACCAGCUCCCAUGAGCAAAACAGAGCACAUCUGCAGCCCAGGGCUCGCUUCACAAUCAACUCUCUGAGCUUUCAAAUCUGCAAAACACUGCUCAGCCAAAGGAUGACGCUGUGUGGUGCUUCCAACCCAACGCUGGUAAACAAGGGGACAAAAGAGGCUUUGAGCUCUGCCGAGUGCAUCUCCCUGGGGCCAGUGCCAUGGCUUCUCCGGAUGAAUGCCUCCUUCUGAAGUGCUGCAUAAUGGCAGCCUUCAGAGAUGCAUGCUCUCUUUUACUAAUCGACUUCUGCUUUUCCUUUACCCCUACACUAAGCUUCAAGGGCAGCUCUCUGGGCUGAAGAAGCUGUGCUGACCAAUGCACCUCUCUUUACCUCUUCCUUUGACCAUGAUCUUUUUCAUGCCCUAAUUAGGAAUUUACUUCUUUUUUUUCGCCUUGAAGCAAUCAUAGCACCCUCCUGUCUCUAAGCCUGAGUGCUCAAAAGCUCUAAUUUACUCCAGACACAAAAUUUUCAUGUAAAAAACCUGACUUCAUGUGUGUUGUUUUUUUUUUUCAGUGCACCAGAAUUAUUCAGCUCUCUGAAAGGAAUCCCAGUUGGACAGACUCUAAUAAUUAAUAUUUCAUUGCGUUGGAUUUACACGUCCUGCGGCAGCAGAGACAGUCCCCCGC